rnacentral:tRNA from 1 species
GCCAUAAAGCAACGAAAGCAUUUCAAUCUUGUAAAUUGAAAAAGAAAGUUUAAUUCUUUCUUAUGGCU